rnacentral:ribozyme from 1 species
GGGGGUAGCACCAGUCGCGGGCCACCAGAGAUCACAACUCCAGGACGUCUUUCAGAGGAGAAGCCAAUUGCCUUUGAUGAGGGUACCGGUUCACGUCAUGGAAGUGCUGCCAGGUCUUCGGAAGGAGUUC